AUUGAACGCUGGCGGCAGGCCUAACACAUGCAAGUCGAACGGUAACAGGAAGCAGCUUGCUGCUUUGCUGACGAGUGGCGGACGGGUGAGUAAUGUCUGGGAAACUGCCCGAUGGAGGGGGAUAACUACUGGAAACGGUAGCUAAUACCGCAUAACGUCGCAAGACCAAAGAGGGGGACCUUAGGGCCUCUUGCCAUCGGAUGUGCCCAGAUGGGAUUAGCUAGUAGGUGGGGUAACGGCUCACCUAGGCGACGAUCCCUAGCUGGUCUGAGAGGAUGACCAGCCACACUGGAACUGAGACACGGUCCAGACUCGUACGGGAGGCAGCAGUGGGGAAUAUUGCACAAUGGGCGCAAGCCUGAUGCAGCCAUGCCGCGUGUAUGAAGAAGGCCUUCGGGUUGUAAAGUACUUUCAGCGGGGAGGAAGGGAGUAAAGUUAAUACCUUUGCUCAUUGACGUUACCCGCAGAAGAAGCACCGGCUAACUCCGUG
rnacentral:rRNA from 1 species